UAUUGGUCAAUAGCCUAACGGCUGAACCAGCAACUUGGAGGAAUGUAUGGGGAAAACUGGUAAAAUGUGAUGUACCCAGUAAUAUUAGUAAUUAAUAUGAGAUUAACUAAGUUAAUUAAAAUUCUAAGUAGGUAUGUGAUAAUGACAAUAUCUGCUUAGGUCUUGACCAAGUCACGUGCCAGCAGUCGCGGUAAUACGUGGAAGACAAGUGUUAUUCAUCUUUAUUGGGUUUAAAGGGUACCUAGACGGUUAAUUAAGCAAUGAGAUGUACUAAUUAACUAGAGUUUAAUGUAAGAAGGAUUGAGUACGGUGAGUGUAGAGAUAAAAUUCUUUGAUACCACUUAGGAACUGGUAACGGCGAAGGCGACCUUCAAUGUAAAAACUGACGUUGAAGGACGAAGGA
rnacentral:rRNA from 1 species